CUAAAGAGUACUUUCAUAUAAGUCUAGAUAAGGUGGCUGUGUCCUUGGUAAUAUUUUCCUGCAUUUUUUCAAAGAGAAGUUGCCAGGGAACACACUCUGCCAGGACCCUACAUGAAUCCACUCUGAGUUGUUUUGGGAGCAAACACAAAACCUUCUGUAAGGCCUUGCUACUGCUAACACUGUCACUCACUUCAACCUGCAAAUUUCAAGCAAUUUCCCCCCUCUUUCUCCACCAAAUAAGUUAACUAAAUUAAAAAAAAAAAAAAAAAAGAAGAAGAAGUCAGCUUCCUUGAAGUAAAGCUCUUACGUUUAAAUGGUGAAAAGCUGGACUGAAAGCCAGCAUCUGUUUCAGCUGUUCCUUUUAUAAGGAAAGUGUCUGGCUACUGCUGGGGUAGUGACACUGGGAAUUUUUUUUCUAAUGUUAGUGUUCUUUUUGGGCUACUCUUUUCUACUGACUACAUAUGCUGAUGUAGAAACUAUUAGAAAACGAGUUCUGAAAUUGUCCUCUAUGGUUAUAUGCAAAAACCAAAUUUUCCAAGGUCUGAUAUAGGAGUUGUAUAUCUGUGUUUUUUCCUGAUAAAUCACAAUUUAUUUGUAUUAGUGCUGGAUGAUAACAUAAUGAAGAUAUUGACUUUGGGUAUAAUACUCCAUUGACCAACUUACUUUCAGAAUUUUGUAUUGUAUAAACAGCUUGAAUUCCAGUCCUUGGAGAUAGGACGUUCUUACAAAGAAAAUCACAUAUUUUUGCAUGUAUCUAACAAUACUAACACCACGACAGUGUAAGAACAGUUUUUCAGUGCUCUACAAAUAGGCAGAGUUGACAAAAGAAAAAAAUAAAGGUCAUCCAGGAAAUGGACUAAUUCAGUAUUGCUUUUAUCAGUUUAUAUUGACAGAGAUUCUUUAAAAAGUACUUGAAUUCCUCUCUGUUGGAUAUCUGCCAGAAAAUAAAGGAAUUUAUUAUAAAACAAAUCCCUCAAGCAGAGAUGAAUUUUUCCUGCUUUUUGAAUCAGCUGUAAUCCUAUAUUUCUGCCCAAACUGGUAUUAUGAUAGUAAGAAUGCAAAAUACUCACAAUAUAUCACAGUUGAUUUUUUAGAAUUCUUGAUAAAGAAUGACGACUUCAGAUGAAUGAUUCUAUAAAGAGAAAAAGCUCAGCUUGUUGCAAGAUUAACCCAGGAAAGAUUAACAAGCCCUAUCUAUCUGGCAUUGGCUCCCCUGUCACAGAAUGUGCUCAUCACUCUUUGCAUGAACCCAAAGAUGAUGAGCAGAGCCCCUUGCAGGGGACAUUGAUGGUCUUCAGGGGGUAUUCAUCAAACAAGUUCACAUGUAGGGUAAUUCCUGCAGUGCAGAUCAUGGUACAUGACCCUUUUGUGCCUCAAGAUCCAAUUUGACCACUGCUUCACUGAGAUUUAUUUAACAAUAAUACUCUCUUCUUUGAAUGGCUGUAGAGUCUCUUCCAGAAAAGCUUGGAGCUACAAACCAACCCAAAAUAUUUUAAUCAAGAAAUCUCCCUACCCUGCCAAUGGCUGAACUCUUUAAUAAGGAAGAAAAAGCUGCAUAAUGAAUGAGAUAAAUCUGAUGGGAUCCAGAAGGAUUUCAUAACCAAACCCUUUAGUAUGUCUGUGCUGCAGUGAUAGCUGAUUAUAGAGCAAAGAUCAAUGAAGUUUUCAACAUUUCCAAAGAGGAACAUCAUGCCAGCACAGCUAAUUGUCUGAGUAUCCAGUGCUAUCUGAGGGGUUUUGGAGCAGACUGAGAGCAACUAUUGCUCUGCAGAUACAACCUGAAAUUGGAAGCUGUUACCAGCCACCUGUGAGACAAAAGCUGGGUGUGCACCAUUUCCUCCACUUUCCCACUCUGUUCCUAUCCUCUCCCAGACACAGGUGUCAACUGCAAAGAAACCCUGGGGGGCAAGAAGAGGUCAUCCAGGUCAAGGUGCCAAGAUGGGAACCCUCAACCCACACCUCACCAAAUCUGUAUUUUAUGACCAACUGGCAAACUUUGUGAAGAUACCAUGACUAAUCAAGCCUGUGCUCUGAUGGAGGUUGAAUAAAAGGUGUUUGUAGGUCCAGCUUGGCUUUUCUUACUUGAAUGCUAUAUGUACCUAAAAAAGGCAUAAACAAGGAAACACCUUGAUGGAAAAGGGCAAGUUUUGUAGGACAGAUGAUAGUGUCUCCUCAAGAAGGGAACCUCAGACCAACUCUCAACUUACACCAUCAGCACUGACCUCUACUGUCUUACUCACAGCAACAGCAGUAACAAAAGAUCAGUAAACGAAGGAAACAUCACUUCCAGGCGCCUGAUGUCAGUGAAAGAAAGAAGCAGGUCUGCCAAGUGGUAGUAAAUAAAAUUAAGUUAAAAAAAAGGGUAAUGGACUAAUGCUUUACUUACAAGAAAAUAUUGUUUUAUGUAUCUCUUUAAUUAUUGAUUGCAUGCUGGCUUAUAGAAGAAAGGUAAAUAUGACAAUGUAAAAUAAAAUGUGAUAUCUGAUUUUGAUAUCACAUUUUGAUCUAGAUUUGCAGGAUCUUUUUUCGGAAUGUUUGGGUGUUUGGUUUUGUUUUUUGGGUUUUUUUUCAUAUCUGAGAUGCUUGCAUAACACCCAGAUAUGGAACCCAUUUUGGAAAAAAUAAUAAUAAAUCAGAUUAGGGUUCCUUCCUGAUGAGCUAGCAUGACUCAUCACAUAUGUUUAGAGGACGUGUCAGGCAAGCAACAUAAAAAAAUCAAGAAAGCAUCUGAAGUGACAUAAAAAUAGGCAGAACCUGAAUCUCUCUACUCCCAGUCUAGUACAUCAGAAAUUUUCCAUCUGAAUAUUUAAUACUCCAUGCUCUAGAUUUAGAGCAACUUUGUGGGCUAAACAUCUGGAACAAUUUAUGUUUCAGAUUUAGGUUACUGACAUAGCAAAGGAAUUGCAUAUUGGCAGUGAAUUCUUACCUUGUUUUUAAGGGAUAAAAUAACAUGGUUGUAAUUCCAUAACAUACAAUAUAUCAUUAAGUAGGACCAAUCAUUCAAUUCAGGAGGACACAGAUUUUCCCAAAGCAUUAGAAUUAUUUUGUUCACACAAAUACACAAGCUACAUAUGGGACCUAAUAAUGUGUUUGCUAAAAUAUUUAUGGAGUUAAAUUAUUCCAUGAAUUGAAUUGUAGUUCACUGAGAUUGUUUCAUUUUAAUAUUAAUAUGGACAAACUAUGUCAGAGAUGCUAAAAAUGUUGAACUUCAAACAUAUUUCUUGAUCACUCUGAUUUAUAUAAGUGCCUUUUGGUUUAGGGCAUGUUCAGUGAAAGAUAAAAGGAAAAAAUUCUUGAUAUACUUUAAGGUGAUAGGUGAGCAAAGUGAAGACCUAUAUAGAAAUAGGUCACAAACUAUCAGUUGCAUAAAAUAAAUAUUUUAGUUUAGGUUACUGUAAAAUGCUGUUUGCAGUAACUUUGCAGGAAAGUAGUUCAGAGUAAAAUAACUUUAGAACAUGGAAAGCUAAAUGAUAUUUUCUGUCAAAGUUUUUUUUGAAAGAAAUGUUUAUCACUUUAUAUCAAAAUGAAUUCAUUUCUUAAAAAUCAUAUAGUGGAUGUAAAAUCAUCCCUCUAACAUGUGAUCAACCCACACAUACUUUAGUUUGUCAUUCUUCUCUUUCAUUUUGCAGGUGUUGUUAAAAAAAUGCAAAAGCUUCCACUUGCCAAGAUGGAUGUGUACUUAGUUAUUUACAGCUUUAAAUGAGAAAAAAAGCCUUUGAAAAAUUCUGGAAAUGUUGAAAUUGUUUUUCCCAGCUGGGAAGAGGGGUUUACUUCAUUUUUAUAAAUAUGUCUGUGUCACAAUGUUCUGGAGUUUUAUGCCAGGAAACUGUGCUGCAUGUUAUGGAGUUCCACGGAAGGAAAGAGGGCUGACUCUGCUUUUGGUAACUGCCACAUCCACCUGGUGGCUGAAAUAGAGAUGGUGAUUUUCAGAUAUGAUUGUUCCUGUGAAGCAAAAUGGUUGAUCAAGCAGUGGAUUUUGAGAUUUCUUCAUGUCUUUUUUUAAUGUAUAUCUCCAAGAGUCACAUAUGAAAGGUGACCUUCUCUCUGAAAUAUUUCUGCACUAUACUCCAGGGGAUAUUAUUUGGAUUUAUAUGGGACCAAAACCAUUAUGCAUUGAGAAAAUUAGAUUUUUUUUCCUAUAAAUCAAGUAUUUGGGCCGUUUUGUUUUUUUUUCUUUCUAGAAUGUUGUGUAUGUGUCCCAAUAAAAAUGAGAUUCAGAAAAUGAGGAUGCAAUAAAGAAUCUGACUGUAUUUCAGUGUCUUUAUUUCAGUGUCUAUAUCAUUGUCUUUAUUACUUUCUUUUCAGUAUACAAAUAUCUUAAUAGGGAGCCAAUGAGAAAGUGAAAAAAAUGCAUGGUUAC